GUUAAUUACAGCAACCCAGGCUUCUCUGUGUGAAGGAAACAGGCCCUCAUUUCUCUCAUUAAAGUAAAAUAUGACCCAUUUUUAUGCCUGCGUAUUUUGUUGCCGAGAUUACGAGAAUCAUCUUUUCUGUUUAUACGGAACGAAGAAACGUUACACCAGGAAGGCGGCCUGGGCCCCUGAGUCUGGGGAAUAGGAAGCAGAUGUCGUCCCGCCCUUAUUUUCCCUUCUACCCCAGCUCCCCUCUCCUCCUCUCCACCUCUUCUCCCUCCAGAAGCAUAAUCCUCAUUUCAGAUCAACACAAGGGAAGUGGAUGCGCCAGUUCCCUCCAACCAAGAAUGCUCCAAGUCGGCCUGGUGCCCCAAGAUGUGGGGCAAACUACUCCUGCUGAUCACAGAUGCAGUUACAGACCUUUGUGACCGCCUUGCUGGCCACAGGACUUCCACAUGACCAUCCUAGUGGCCUCACACAGAUGGACCUGCACACCUCUGACACAGCAGAUUCACAAUCUGUGCUUUCACCAGUGGGCAGCAGUUAAAUGAAUCCCAUCCCAUAGAAUGCUGGGCUACCGAGGAAAGAACAAGGAAGUGCUGUCUACACUCAUGAGGAACGGUCUCCCGGGUAGGGUGUGACUUGGCCGGAGCGAGGUGAGGACUGAGGAUGCAGUGUUUUACUCACACCUUAGAAAGGGGCAUAGUAAGAAUACGUAUUUUUAUUUGCCUGAAGCAUCUCCAGAAGGACACACAAGAAACUAGGAAACGUGGUGA
rnacentral:lncRNA from 1 species